UAAACUGAAACARUAUUUUAAAUUGGACUUUCAGUCGAAGCAGGUAAUUUAAAAAGGAAGACGAAUGGACUUCAUUUAUAAGUAAAGGAGGCUCUCCGUGUGGUUUUGAUCCUGCUGGCUGGAUGUUGCAUCACUUCACCUCGGAGGAGACCUCAGAGCGUCGCUCAGCGAUCAGCCGACAGAGACGAGCUCACACAGGAAUGUGUUUUUAACAAAGGAGCUGAUGAAGCCGAUCCCAGGACGUGUUUCAGAACCGGACCGGGAGGAGGAGGAGGAGGAGGGAGAACAAUUAAGAGGGAUGAAGAGCUGGAAGCAGAUCGGCCAUCCUGAGUUCAGCCCCCAGUUCCCCACUGAGCGYCCUGAGCGUGGGCUGCUGCUUCACCGCCCCGCUGCCCCGGCUGCAGCUCCGGAGCGGGGCCGCGCUCCAAAUUACCAGCAGAGGGCCAGCAGGGUGAAGAGACCCCACCCCGCCCCCGGCUGAACCCUCUGCAGRCCCGGGGCGAAGCUGACAGAGCGUCGCGGAUGGCCCCGGAUUGCACCUGCACUGGGGGGGCUGCCUCCCCUCCCUUUGGUUCACACACACCAACACGACCCAGAGACCAGAACCCUCUGAGGCCUUCUGUCGGUGUCAGUCAGGACGUGCAGUUUGUCAGUUUGAUGUCCAAGUCCAACGGGGACCAACAGAAAGGGUUAAUGUAAUCCAUUUCACCGGCGGGGGUCCCUCCUUGUGUCUUCGUUGGCCCCUCGGAGUUUCCAUUGUGCCGGCCGGUGCAGGUGUAGGACACGCUUUGUUGAUCAUAAUCCUCCCCGGCGAGGCGAGAGGCUUUGAGUGUGUUUGACGUUCCUCCGCCGGCGGGCCCUUUGCUCCUCGGCUGCCCAAUGGGCUGCCGUCUCCCGCGGCAACUCAUGGGAUCCGACAGGCGGAAAAAUAAUGAACAACACCUCAACCCGGCGCUGACCCGGCUCCAAUCACCAGUCCCACACCAAAGAUGUUUGUAUUGGAAACUGAUGCCACUGGGUUCUGGUCCGUCGGAUCCAGUCUGUAAAAAUGUCCUGGAAGUUGUUCAAAAACCCAGAGACGUCAGAGAGGGCAGAGAAGGCUCGGCACGGCGGCCAUUAAUCGUGAAGACGAGCGGCAGCGCGGGGCAAACCUUUCAUGGUCAGAGGGAAGCAGACUGGGCUCGGUACCGGGACACGAGCUGUGAUCCAUCAUCCUCGGCUGGCCUGAAUGUAAACACGCUGGCAGCACUCAGCCGAAGGCUCGCAGGACCGAUUCUGUCAAACACCUUUACACAAACGCUGAGGUGUCUGAAAACAGAGGGUUCUGUACGGUCCACACCGGAGUCCUGCCUUACG